CGGCUCGGAUCUGCGCCGCUGGAGCACUCUCUCGGCUGCCAAAUGAGACCAAUUAGUGCGCUGUGAGCCGUGGGGACCCGCUCCAGCAGCGGGUGUGGGGCCGGAGAAUGGACGAGGGCACCCAUCUCUUCUGCCAUGCCUGCUUCACCCAAGUCUGGAAUGCAGGAGCCAAGGGGCCCCCAGGUCCCAGAUAGGAGCACUGUGGAGUGGGCCAAGUGUCUUCCACCAGGGUGCCCUGAGCAGGGCACUGGAAAAUUGGGGCUUUUCAGGAUCCCCAAGUCCCCGUGGGGGUGGGUCCAUUGGAGAUUUUUCUUUUUAAUAAACUUCCUCUGUGACUUUCAGGGAGUUUGCUUCUCUCUCUGAGCCUGAGCAUUCCAGACUGUAAGCCAGCCUCAGACUAGAGGGACCCCUCCCUAGAGGAGAAAUGAGAGCAGGGGGGGAAAUUAGUAAAUGGGCUUCCGGGAGGGCAUGGCCCUCCAGGACAAAUAGGUUCCAGAGAUAGGUCCCUGAAGGCUUUGGGGGUGAGAUCAAAAGACAAAGAGGAGGGCUGUGGUCUGGAGAGGAACAGAUGGUGAGGGGUUAUCAGAACUCCCUGUUUAGGACCUCAGCCCAUCCCUGCCCUGCCUCCCAGGCAAGGCCAGCUCUCCCAGAGGGUCUGAUCACUAGUGUGAUCAGUGGGGGUUCAUAUGUGUGGUAGGCAGCAGGGAGGGUCUUCCAGUCUCCAUAAAGGUGGGAGGCAGAAGUUGCCGGCAGCAGCCUGGCCUCCCUGCCCAUUCCCAGUGCCCAGUUGGUGACCACAGAGAAGCAGCAGACCCACUCAAGCCUUGCAAGGAACUGUCUGAAGACAGAUUCAAGCCCCAUUCUGGGCCAGAUUUGCUGACAGAGCUGGCCAGCACAGGGUCUCCUCGCUGUGGCAUGUGCAGUGAAAUACCAGAUCCGGUCGUCCAUCUCUAAGUCAGGCCUGACAGCUCUUGUUCAGGUAGAUUUACAACAGCUGGUCCAACUGUCGAGGACUCCCAUCAAGAAGUCAGGGUUCCUUCAGGGGCUAUGAGAUAUGGAUGAUUAGGGCCUAGAUGUGUCAGAACGGCGAAGCCCCUUCAAUCCUGGCCAGCCUGUUACCCUGCACCCCAGCAGGCUCAGAAGGCUGAAUUUAUAGAUGCCAUGGGUGACGGUGACUAUCAGAGCUGAAGGGGCCAGGUAGGGAAUGAGGCCAGGUGGGAUAAGCAUGGCUCACAAUAACUCUGAAGAUUGGUGGGAUGAUUGGGACCAGGAUCUGGAGUUCUGGAACUUUCCCAGAGCCCAUGCUGCCUGAGAUGAGGCUCUCCAACACCCUAGCUCACUGCCAUGAAGGUUGAUAGGGGUGAACAAAGGCCAUUGGUGCCAGUGACUGAAAGGCCUUCCCUGGACGUUUUUUUUUUUUCUUGCCGGAUUUUACUUCUCUGUAGCCAACAUGAGCCCAGAGGGGCAAGGUUACUUGUCCAGUGUCACACAGUACGUCAGACAUUCCAAGCUCUGACGGUUGAAUCUAUGUUGUAGUUUUCAGAAGAUUCUGGUUCAGGCUUUUCUAAGAGGCAGCAUAAGAACAAUCCAACAUGCCAGGCAAGAAUUCUUGUGUCUCUAAGAGAGGAGACUCAGAGUUCCUGGGCAGAGGCUUCCAUGGGGCAACCCCCUUGGCAUCUCUGCCAUCAGCCCAGCUUCUAGGGACAGUCCUGGGGGAACCUGAGGCUUCCGGGUACCUCAGGAACUGAGCCUUGUGUUAGAAACACUACACCUGUGGGAGCGCCCCAGGCACCACCAAAGGCUUUAGCUUGCUCUUGCACGGUCUGCAGAUCUUCACAUGUCGUCCUGGGAAGGAGCAAUGGGCAAAGAAGACAAGACAAGACAAGUCAAGACAAGAGACAGAGAGGCAGGCAGAGCCAGGGGUGGAGAGAGGGGAAAAUACAAUUAAGAUUCAUUUCUAGAAAUGAAGUUUUUUUUAAAAAACUCAAAGCAUGAAUCAGAUUAUUUCACCCUUCUUCCUGGAGGCUCAGAAGGGACUUUCCUGGCAAACAUGACCCACCCAGGCUACUUCAAUCUUGUCAGGGAGAAAUUUGAUUUACUGGCAGAUGACGGAGAGAAGGAAGCUUAUCGACUCAACUGGAGCAGAGACCCCGUAAAGCUGAGGGGUCUGGGAGGCCUGUUUCUGAUGGCAGGGGUAGAAGGGUGUACACACAUGGCCUUGCAGGCUCGCAGGCCCCUUAGGCUGUCUCCUUUCUGACAGCACUCUCAGGCAGUGUGUGUCUCAAAGCUAUGUUUGCAUCCUUUGACAAACACAGCCCCAUUUAUGGGAGGAAUCACACACACACACACACACACAC